AACGAACGCUGGCGGCAUGCCUAACACAUGCAAGUCGAACGAGACCUUCGGGUCUAGUGGCGCACGGGUGCGUAACGCGUGGGAACCUGCCCUUAGGUUCGGAAUAACUCCCCGAAAGGGGUGCUAAUUCCGGAUAAUGUCUUCGGACCAAAGAUUUAUCGCCUUUGGAUGGGCCCGCGUUGGAUUAGCUAGUUGGUAGGGUAAAAGCCUACCAAGGCGACGAUCCAUAGCUGGUCUGAGAGGACGAUCAGCCACACUGGGACUGAGACACGGCCCAGACUCCUACGGGAGGCAGCAGUGGGGAAUAUUGGACAAUGGGCGAAAGCCUGAUCCAGCAAUGCCGCGUGAGUGAUGAAGGCCUUAGGGUUGUAAAGCUCUUUUACCCGGGAUGAUAAUGACAGUACCGGGAGAAUAAGCUCCGGCUAACUCCGUG
rnacentral:rRNA from 1 species